CCCAGGAUCAAGUCCUACAUCGGGCUCCCUGCAUGGAGCCUGCUUCUCUCUCUGCCUGUGUCUCUGCCUCUCUGUGUCUCUCAUGAAUAAAUAAAUAAAAUCUUUUAAAAAAAAUUCCUUCAACGAAAAACUUUAUAUUUAAACCACAGUAAAUGUUGCAUACUACUAAAAAUUUUAUUUCUUUUACUCAGGAAAUGGAUCAAGAGAUUUAGGAUGAUUAUUUCAAGGGACAAAAUCAUAAUGAGUUUAGUAUGUAACCCAAAUCCUGGAUUGCUAUAUAAUAGUUAUUGGUUGUGA
rnacentral:lncRNA from 12 species